GGCCCUAUGGGUUGUAAACUUCUUUUGUAUGGGAAGAAAAGCAGUUACGUGUAAUUGUCUGCCGGUACCAUACGAAUAAGGAUCGGCUAACUCCGUGCCAGCAGCCGCGGUAAUACGGAGGAUCCAAGCGUUAUCCGGAUUUAUUGGGUUUAAAGGGUGCGUAGGCGGCUCUAUAAGUCAGUAGUGAAAUCUCGAAGCUCAACUUCGAACGUGCUAUUGAAACUGUAGAGCUUGAGUACAGACGAGGCAGGCGGAAUGUGUUGUGUAGCGGUGAAAUGCUUAGAUAUAACACAGAACACCGAUAGCGAAGGCAGUUUGCCAGACUGUAACUGACGCUGAGGCACGAAAGCGUGGGGAGCGAACAGGAUUAGAUACCCUGGUAGUCCACGCCGUAAACGAUGAUUACUGGUUGUAGGCGAUACAUUGUCUGUGACUGAGCGAAAGUAUUAAGUAAUCCACCUGGGGAGUACGUCGGCAACGAUGAAACUCAAAGGAAUUGACGGGGGCCCGCACAAGCGGAGGAACAUGUGGUUUAAUUCGAUGAUACGCGAGGAACCUUACCUGGACUUAAAUGUAGAUUGCAUAGAGUGGAGACAUUCUUUUCUUCGGACUAUCUACAAGGUGCUGCAUGGUUGUCGUCAGCUCGUGCCAUGAGGUGUCGGGUUAAGUCCCAUAACGAGCGCAACCCCUAUCGUUAGUUGCUAGCAGGUAAUGCUGAGAACUCCAGCGAGACUGCCACCGUAAGGUGUGAGGAAGGUGGGGAUGACGUCAAAUCAGCACGGCCCUUACGUCCAGGGCUACACACGUGUUACAAUGGCAGGUACAAAGGGCAGCUACAUAGUGAUAUGAUGCUAAUCUCAAAAACCUGUCUCAGUUCGGAUAGGAGUCUGCAACUCGACUCCUUGAAGCUGGAUUCGCUAGUAAUCGUAUAUCAGCAAUGAUACGGUGAAUACGUUCCCGGGCCUUGUACACACCGCCCGUCAAGCCAUGGAAGUUAGGGGUACCUAAAGUACGUAACCGCAAGGAGCGUCCUAGGGUAAAACUGGUAACUGGGGCUAAGUCGUAACAAGGUAGCCGUACCGGAAGGUGUGGCUGGAACACCUCCUUUCU
rnacentral:rRNA from 1 species